rnacentral:rRNA from 1 species
CCUACGGGAGGCAGCAGUAGGGAAUAUUGCACAAUGGAGGAAACUCUGAUGCAGCGAUGCCGCGUGAGUGAAGAAGGCCUUUGGGUUGUAAAGCUCUUUCGUCGGGGAAGAAAAUGACUGUACCCGAAUAAGAAGGUCCGGCUAACUUCGUGCCAGCAGCCGCGGUAAUACGAAGGGACCUAGCGUAGUUCGGAAUUACUGGGCUUAAAGAGUUCGUAGGUGGUUAAAAAAGUUGGUUGUGAAAUCCCGAAGCUUAACUUCGGAACUGCAAUCAAAACUUUUUAGCUAGAGUAUGAUAGAGGAAAGCAGAAUUUCUAGUGUAGAGGUGAAAUUCGUAGAUAUUAGAAAGAAUACCAAUUGCGAAGGCAGCUUUCUGGAUCAUUACUGACGCUGAGGAACGAAAGCAUGGGUAGCGAAGAGGAUUAGAUACCCUCGUAGUCCAUGCCGUAAACGAUGUGUGUUAGACGUUGGAAAUUAAUUUUCAGUGUCGCAGCGAAAGCAGUAAACACACCGCCUGGGGAGUACGACCGCAAGGUUAAAACUCAAAUGAAUUGACGG